rnacentral:lncRNA from 1 species
GGGGAACAUGACCUCAUUUGUUGAGGGGAAGUGAAGAAAAGGUCAGUGUAACUGAGGAGAGAAUCUGCUCAGAAGACUUGCAGCUUUGGGUGGGUAAGAGAGCGCGUAUGCCAAAAUGUUACUUGCACCAAUUUCCAAGAAUGGCAGGAUGUGGGACACGAAGGUCCGAGCCAGGGCAGCACCCUGCUGGUAUGAUGGGACUGUGCCCAAGAGAAGAGUCUUCCUGCAUUAUUGCUCAGAAAAUGUCGUUCCUCUGUGUUCAGCCCUGCAGAUGACUGGCUCCACCUCUAGGCGAAUGACAGUUGGCUUUACAGGCUAAAGAAAUGGAAAGGGGAACCUGCAUUGAAGAUUAAAGCACAAAGGCUUUGGCAGAUUCUCUGAAAAAGUUACUUAAUGUAUUCUAUUAUGUGCCCUUAUUUUAC